rnacentral:rRNA from 1 species
UAGGGAAUCUUCCGCAAUGGACGCAAGUCUGACGGAGCAACGCCGCGUGAGUGAAGAAGGAUUUCGGUUCGUAAAACUCUGUUGUUAGAGAAGAACAGCGCAUAGAGUAACUGUUAUGCGUGUGACGGUAUCUAACCCGAAAGCCACGGCUAACUACGUGCCAGCAGCCGCGGUAAUACGUAGGUGGCAAGCGUUGUCCGGAUUUAUUGGGCGUAAAGCGAGCGCAGGCGGUCAAUUAAGUCUGAUGUGAAAGCCCCCGGCUCAACCGGGGAGGGUCAUUGGAAACUGGUUGACUUGAGUGCAGAAGAGGAGAGUGGAAUUCCAUGUGUAGCGGUGAAAUGCGUAGAUAUAUGGAGGAACACCAGUGGCGAAGGCGACUCUCUGGUCUGUAACUGACGCUGAGGCUCGAAAGCGUGGGUAGCAAACAGG